rnacentral:rRNA from 1 species
AACGAACGCUGGCGGCAUGCCUAACACAUGCAAGUCGAACGAUUGCCUUCGGGUGAUAGUGGCGCACGGGUGCGUAACGCGUGGGAAUCUGCCCUUAGGUUCGGAAUAACAGCUGGAAACGGCUGCUAAUACCGGAUGAUAUCGCGAGAUCAAAGAUUUAUCGCCUGAGGAUGAGCCCGCGUUGGAUUAGGUAGUUGGUGGGGUAAAGGCCUACCAAGCCGACGAUCCAUAGCUGGUCUGAGAGGAUGAUCAGCCACACUGGGACUGAGGCACGGCCCAGACUCCUACGGGAGGCAGCAGUGGGGAAUAUUGGACAAUGGGCGCAAGCCUGAUCCAGCAAUGCCGCGUGAGUGAUGAAGGCCCUAGGGUUGUAAAGCUCUUUUACCCGGGAAGAUAAUGACUGUACCGGGAGAAUAAGCCCCGGCUAACUCCGUG